rnacentral:rRNA from 1 species
UACGGAGGAUCCGAGCGUUAUCCGGAUUUAUUGGGUUUAAAGGGUGCGUAGGCGGGUUAAUAAGUCAGUGGUGAAAGUUUGCAGCUUAACUGUAAAAUUGCCGUUGAAACUGUUUUUCUUGAGUGUGGUCAAGGAAGGCGGAAUGUGUAAUGUAGCGGUGAAAUGCUUAGAUAUUACACAGAACACCGAUUGCGAAGGCAGCUUUCUGGGCCGUUACUGACGCUGAUGCACGAAAGCGUGGGGAUCGAACAGGAUUAGAUACCCUGGUAGUCCCUGA